CGAUAAUCUGAAUUAGAUUUAUUAUAUCAAUAGGUUAGGUGGUUUCAAUUGAUACAUAUUAAAAUUAUAAGGAAAAAAAAUCUAAUAAUUUAUAAUUGCAUACAAAAAAGCUGAUACUGAAAUGCUACUGUUGUAGACUGGAAGUUAGAAAGGUAGGAUACAUAAAGUUAUUUAUUUAAUAUCUGUAUGCAUUGAUAAACCAUUGGUAACGAAAAAUGAUUCUGAGCGAAGCUUGGUUUAAAAACGUCCAUCUUCAAAAAUCUAGGAAGGAGACAGUGUAUUUUUUCAAUAAUAUUUUCUAAUCGUUUAUUCUAUUUUGACUUUUGAAUUAUGUCGUAAACAACCGAUGGGAAACCAUCAGUAAAAAUAAUCGUACUAUAUAAUAUAUAUGAUAAUCAAUUUUUCAUUUAUUCAAUAUAUUUA